AAUAUUUUCAAUCUGAUGAAUUGAACGUCCGCCUCACCCACCGUGGAAACCAUCAGCGGAAACACCGGCGAUUCUUAAAAUUGAGAGCGGAUUUGUUGCCCACAGCCAACGCCCACAACACAGGAGCGGGCCGCCGCGCCCCACCGCUACUAGCGGACCGGGGAACAGACCGAAGAAAUCCACCCCUCCGGAUAAAUCCUCCCUUUGGUGCAUCCACUGCCAGAAACCAAAACACACAUACGAGACGUGUUUCAAGCGAUUGGGAUAUCCCGAUUGGUGGGAGGAGAGACAGAAAGUGAGGGGAACUCAUCUUAGUCGAAAAUGGCUGUGGGAGUUUCCAAUUACCGGCAGCCACAAAAUCAAUAGAACGGGAAAUCAAGGAGGACAAGGAGGAUCAGCAGGAUGCCCCGUCCGGCGGUGGCAGUGUGCGGGGAACCGGGAACUAUGUCGAGUGAACGGAGAUGGCGCCGACAGGAGGAUAUUCGGAUGAAGAGGAUUCUUGGGCGUGACACUGAGAAGCAAGGACUCUACUACUAAGUGGACGAGAUAGCUCAACAUGGUAGUGCAAUGCUGGCUCACGAGUCCAUGAAACAAGAAAUUUGGCUAUGGCACCGAAGACUAAGACACCCUUAUUUUUAUGAAUUUUUCGAUCCCUUCUAAUUUUUUAUGUGAGACUUGUGUUUUGGCCAAAAGCCACAGACAACCUUUUAAGCUUUCCAAUACUUGAAUGAAUUCAAUUUUUUCCUUA